rnacentral:rRNA from 1 species
GGCGGCGUGCUUAAUACAUGCAAGUCAACUUGACUUUAGAUAGCAAGUAUCGAAAGUAGGGUGGCGCACGGGUGCGUAACGCGUAGGUAAUCUGCCCUGAGGUCUGACAUAACCCGUCGAAAGGCGGGCUAACAUCAGACGAUAUAUAAUCACGACAUCGUGGAAAUAUCAAAUCUUCGGAGCCUUGGGAUGAGCCUGCGUCUGAUUAGGUAGUUGGCGGAGUAAUAGCCCACCAAGGCCUACGAUCAGUAGCUGGUCUGAGAGGAUGAUCAGCCACACUGGAACUGAGACACGGUCCAGACUCCUACGGGAGGCAGCAGUAAGGAAUAUUGCUCAAUGGGGGGAAACCCUGAAGCAGCAACGCCGCGUGAAGGAUGAAAUACUUUUGUAUGUAAACUUCUGUAAGAUGGGAAAAAUAUUCUCCUCGGGAGAAUUGAUUGUACCAUCAGAGUAAGCCCCGGCUAACUACGUG